GAUGAACGCUAGCUACAGGCUUAACACAUGCAAGUCGAGGGGCAGCAUGAACUUAGCUUGCUAAGUUUGAUGGCGACCGGCGCACGGGUGAGUAACACGUAUCCAACCUGCCGAUGACUCGGGGAUAGCCUUUCGAAAGAAAGAUUAAUACCCGAUGGCAUAGUUCUUCCGCAUGGUAGAACUAUUAAAGAAUUUCGGUCAUCGAUGGGGAUGCGUUCCAUUAGGUUGUUGGCGGGGUAACGGCCCACCAAGCCUUCGAUGGGUAGGGGUUCUGAGAGGAAGGUCCCCCACAUUGGAACUGAGACACGGUCCAAACUCCUACGGGAGGCAGCAGUGAGGAAUAUUGGUCAAUGGACGAGAGUCUGAACCAGCCAAGUAGCGUGAAGGAUGACUGCCCUAUGGGUUGUAAACUUCUUUUAUACGGGAAUAAAGUGAGGCACGUGUGCCUUUUUGUAUGUACCGUAUGAAUAAGAAUCGGCUAACUCCGUG
rnacentral:rRNA from 1 species